UCACAAGCAAGAAGAGAGCAGAGCUCAAGG
rnacentral:piRNA from 1 species